rnacentral:rRNA from 1 species
UACGGAGGAUGCAAGCGUUAUCCGGAAUGAUUGGGCGUAAAGCGUCCGCAGGUGGCUGUGUAAGUCUGCUGUCAAGAGCGAAGCUCAACUUCGUAAAGGCAGUGGAACUACACGGCUAGAGUGCGUUCGGGCAGAGGAAUUCCUGGUGUAGCGGUGAAAUGCGUAGAGAUCAGAAGACACCGUGCGAGCGCUCUGCUAGCCGCACUGACACUGAGGACGAAAGCAAGGGAG